UAUCCUAGAUUGCUUUCAAGGUCAUUUCUUUAGGGAACCCCAUUCCCAUAAUUCAGUAUCCAAAGAUGGUUGUUGUAUGUAUGGGAAUAAGGGUUCCCUAACGAAAUGAUCUUGGACGCAAUCUAGGAGU
rfam:Oryza barthii chromosome 7, whole genome shotgun sequence.